rnacentral:rRNA from 1 species
UACGGGGGGGAGCAAGCGUUGUUCGGAUUUACUGGGCGUAAAGGGCGCGUAGGCGGCGUGACAAGUCACUUGUGAAAUCUCCGGGCUUAACUCGGAACGGUCAAGUGAUACUGUCGUGCUAGAGUACAGAAGGGGCAACUGGAAUUCUCGGUGUAGCGGUGAAAUGCGUAGAUAUCGAGAGGAACACCUGCGGCGAAAGCGGCUCACUGGACCACAACUGACGCUGAGGCGCGAAAGCUAGGGGAGCAAACAGG